GAUGAACGCUGGCGGCGUGCCUAACACAUGCAAGUCGAGCGGCAGCGCGGUGUGCUUUCACUCUGUCGGCGAGCGGCGGACGGCUGAGUAACGCGUGGAAACGUGCCUCCAUGUUCGUAAUAACUGCCCUAAAGGGUAUCUAAUUCCUCCUAUUAUCUUCCGAUCAAAGGAUUUAUACGCUUUUGGAGCGGGUCGCGUGGGAAUGGGUCGUUGUCGAGGUAAGGGCUCACCAAGCUGACGAUCCGUAGCUGGGCAGAGAGGAAGAUCAGACAGACUGGAAAUGAGACACAGUGGAGAAUACUACGGGAGGGAGCAGUGAGGGAUCUACCAAAAUGGGCGAAAGGAUGAUGGAGCAAAGCCGCGAGAAGGACGAAGGCGGGCGGGUAGUAAACUGCGUUUAUAAGUGAGGAAUAUGACGGUAACUUAUGAAUAAGGAUCGGCUAACUACGUG
rnacentral:rRNA from 1 species